UUAUUACUACCUCCGUUUCAUAAUUUUUGUCGAAAUAUUACAUGUAUCUAUACGCCUUUUAGGAAUAUAUACGUCCAUAUUUGGGUAAAUUUGAGACAAGAAUUAUGAAACGGAGGGAGUAUAUU
rnacentral:pre_miRNA from 1 species